GCGUUGGGCCACCUACCAGCAAAAGUUUCCACAGGGCGCGGGCCACUCCUUAGCUAGCCGGGGCCGCGCCUCCAGGACCUUAGUCCCGAAAAUGAACGCCGCAGGGUCGACUGGUCGGGGCGCACGAAGCAUCAGCUCGGCCUUGUGGCCGGACCGGGUGUCUCGGAAGGCGGGCUGAUCCCAGGCCAGUCCGCGGGAUUAGGAGUGGUCACCCUAAACCAGGAGAGGGCAGGGUGGGAGUGUGCGCGGCGUCGCGAUGCAGACUCAUCCGGAGGUCUCAGCACCCGAAAAUGUGGAGGGUCUUCAGAGAGAAAAGAAGCCUUAGGGGUACAGACUGCAAGUUAUGAAGUCUCCACCAAGGGGGGAAAAGUAGCAUCUGAACUGUCGCUGUGAAGAAAUUGUUUGCAGGGUAGGCUGAAGACAAGAAGCAUCUCUUGGCUCUAAUCAGCUACAUCAGCUAAUGACACAGAUUGUAUCAUUUGAGAGACCUGGGAGAACAAGGGGAUGUCACAGAAGACAGCCAUGGGAAUGGAAGAUGAUUUAAAAUAAGCAAUCGGGCUGAAAGAGAAUAUGUUGGUUAUAAAAUAAGUGCAGGAUUAAAAGAGAUGAAUGGGGAA
rnacentral:lncRNA from 1 species